rnacentral:rRNA from 1 species
UACGGGGGGGGCAAGCGUUGUUCGGAAUUACUGGGCGUAAAGGGCUCGUAGGCGGCCAACUAAGUCGGACGUGAAAUCCCUCGGCUUAACCGGGGAACUGCGUCCGAUACUGGAUGGCUUGAGUUUGGGAGAGGGAUGCGGAAUUCCAGGUGUAGCGGUGAAAUGCGUAGAUAUCUGGAGGAACACCGGUGGCGAAGGCGGCGUCCUGGACCAACACUGACACUGAGGAGCGAAAGCCAGGGGAGCAAACGGG